GGCCCCAUAGCUCAGCUGGAUAGAGCAACGGCCUUCUAAGCCGUAGGUCCUAGGUUCGAGUCCUAGUGGGGUCG
rnacentral:tRNA from 2 species